GUCAUUUCCACGACACGUCCUUCUCAACUGGUGACAACAACACAUGUAUUAGAGUCGUGAGGACUGGACAGUCUGAUCAAUCUACAGUACAGUACAUUACCGUCCUUGGUGGCUAAGGCACUACGGACUCCAUGCCAGAGCUGGGAGAUCUCCUCGUCUGUGGGAGUACGGUCCAGACAGAGGCCAUUCUCAUGGUACAGAAGUCCCCAUCUGGCAGCCUCUCCCUGGGCGUCCUGCUGGCCUGACAUGGGGGUGGCCUUGGAUGGGUUGGAAAUAAUGCUGCUAUCUGCACUAAUGACAUGUGUACGGGUCUGGGACGAAGCGAGGCUGUCCAUGGUGUUAUUAUUACACAAAGCCUCAUCUACAGGAAUCCCUGCUUUAGUAGCAGCAGAGUUAGACUGAUCCAUGUUGUAAGGAGUCUUGGUGGUGUCAUUAGAGUGAUCCAUGUCGUAAGGAGUCUUGGUGGUGUCAUUAAAGGGAUCCAUGUUGUAAGGAGUCUUGGUGGUGUCAUUAGAGUGAUCCAUGUUGUAAGGAGUCUUGGUGGUGUGAUUAGUGGGAUCCAUUUUGUAAGGAGUCUUGGUGGUGUAUUUAGUGGGAUCCAUUUUGUAAGGAGUCUUGGUGGUGUCAUUAGAGUGAUCCAUUUUGUAAGGAGUCUUGGUGGCGUGAUUAGUGGGAUCCAUUUUGUAAGGAGUCUUGGUGGUGUCAUUAGAGUGAUCCAUUUUGUAAGGAGUCUUGGUGGUGUGAUUAGUGGGAUCCAUUUUGUAAGGAGUCUUGGUGGUGUCAUUAGAGUGAUCCAUUUUGUAAGGAGUCUUGGUGGUGUGAUUAGUGGGAUCCAUUUUGUAAGGAGUCUUGGUGGUGUCAUUAGAGUGAUCCAUGUUGUAAGGAGUCUUGGUGGUGUAUGAUACUACAGCAUCCGUCUCUCUUGUGUGUGUUUUUGGUUCCAUGGUUUCAGUGCGGGGCGGGGGACGAGGCACCAUGACCUUCCUGUGGGUCACCCAGGCCACGUGGCUGCUGGCCUCCGUAGCAGAUUGGGGUCUGAUGACCGUGCCUUUUCUGGAGCGGGACGAAACAGGAUCCAUCCCUGCCCUGGCAGAUCUCACUCUCCUGGGGACUCUGGGGCACACAGUUCUCCCACUGCUCCCCCGCUGGACCUUGACCUCCCUGGCUUCCACUCUUGUCUCCCUGGCCUCCUGGCCUCUCUCCUGGAUCCCCUGGUGCCCCUGCAGCCUGCUCUCCUGGACCCUGACAUCUGCCCAGGCCUGCUUGGUAAAGUGAUAGCCGGUGGAGGCCAGAGGGGUGUUGGUGGCCACCGUCUGGCCCUGACCCUGUUGGUGGUCUGAUGAUGCUGAGUGUUUAUAUGGAGGUAGUGGAUACUCAGAAACACACUUGUUGUUUGUUAUAGGACUCCGUUCCAUCUCCUCCUCUUCCUCCAGAUUUACCUCGUCAAACCAGCGUAUCUUCUUUUUGAUCAUCUUGUCUGCAUCCUUGCCUUUCCUUCUGGUCAGUUCCACACUAUCUCUGAUGGACAUGGUGAAUUGUUUGGUGAAUAUUAAAUGCCUGGCGUUAUACAUACCAGAACAGGCGUUUCCUCCCGACACGCCAUAUUUUGAUUCUUUUUUAAGAAUUCCCUUUAUGCAUCGGACUUCAGUGCCUUUAUGAUCUGUGGCUGUGCUGACAGCAGCUACAGGUGGAGGAGAUGGAGGUGUAUCUGGGAGGUGUGUUGGUGUUAUUUCCACCUGCAGGCUCUUUAGGCCUUUAGGGAAGUCAGACCUGAUAUUACAAUGACCCAAUGUCUGACUGAGAGGGUCUGUGUUCUUAGACCUCUCGGGUUUGGGCUCAGAGUUGGACCCUGCUUUGGGCUCAGAGUUGGGCCUUGCUUUGGGCUCAGAGUUGGUCCUUGCUUUGGGCUCAGAGUUGGGCCCUGCUUUGGGCUUAGGGUUGGGCCCUGCUUUGGGCUCAGAGUUGGACCCUGCUUUGGGCUCAGAGUUGGACCCUGCUUUGGGCUCAGAGUUGGUCCUUGCUUUGGGCUCGGACCCUGCUUUGGGCUCAGAGUUGGACCCUUUGUUGAGGUUGUUCAUGGCAUCUUCUACACUGGGUUUGCUCCCGUGUGACUGGUGUUGUGUGCUUUUUGUUGGCUGAAUGUUGGCCGUGUCCUCUCGGACCCCUGAGCUACUUUUAGUGUUAUAACUGAGGAUAUGAUCAGGGUAUGAGGAGGGGGCUUCACACAGAAGGUCUUUGUGGCUGCAAGUUUUCCCAGGCAGAAGGACCUGUGUCGCCGACGGUUGUUUGGAAUACUUGUCCUCCGGGUCUCUCACCUGCUGCCUAAAUUCUAACUUUCCCUCUGGGAUCAGACAAGAGGUGAACUCUAGCAGCGUUCUGUCUGGGGUAGAAGCCUUGGAGCACACUACGACCCCCGAGACUCUGUGGUCCCCCCUCAGAUGACUUUCCCUCUCCUGAGAGUGUUGGUCACCGCUAUCUGAACGUAUUGAGGAUGUGUCUAUAAUCCCACUCAGAGUUAGCAGGCUGUGGUGACUGACACUGAGGAGUGGGGACUGGGUUAUAGUGUUACUCUGUGAUGAUGAUUGGUCUGUACAACUCUGCCACCCGGUGGCCUGAGAGAGCUGGUGCAGUCUGCUGUUACAAUCUUCGACAGACUCCUCUGUCUGCCUUGGUCUGGGUGGCUGAGGGCUAGCAUCAACUUUGCCCUGUUGGAUUAGGAGGUUACCACUUAGGACACUCUUUGUUGGUGGACAAAAGGACAAGUCAGAGGAUGGACCAUUGGGGUGUCUCUGGUGAUCUAACCAAGAGCUGUGGACUCUCUGUACUGUGUUGUUGUGGUUUAAGCCGUCCUCCAUCUCCAAGCUAUCCAGACUGGACAGGCUCUCUGACUGAGUCACAUUAUGAUG
ensembl:lncRNA